rnacentral:rRNA from 1 species
GAUGAACGCUGGCGGCGUGCCUAAUACAUGCAAGUCGAGCGAACAGACGAGGAGCUUGCUCCUUUGACGUUAGCGGCGGACGGGUGAGUAACACGUGGGUAACCUACCUAUAAGACUGGGAUAACUUCGGGAAACCGGAGCUAAUACCGGAUAAUAUUUCGAACCGCAUGGUUCGAUAGUGAAAGAUGGCUUUGCUAUCACUUAUAGAUGGACCUGCGCCGUAUUAGCUAGUUGGUAAGGUAACGGCUCACCAAGGCAACGAUACGUAGCCGACCUGAGAGGGUGAUCGGCCACACUGGAACUGAGACACGGUCCAGACUCCUACGGGAGGCAGCAGUAGGGAAUCUUCCGCAAUGGGCGAAAGCCUGACGGAGCAACGCCGCGUGAGUGAUGAAGGUCUUCGGAUCGUAAAACUCUGUUAUUAGGGAAGAACAAACGUGUAAGUAACUGUGCACGUCUUGACGGUACCUAAUCAGAAAGCCACGGCUAACUACGUG